rnacentral:rRNA from 1 species
AUUGAACGCUGGCGGCAGGCCUAACACAUGCAAGUCGAACGGUAACAGGAAGAAGCUUGCUUCUUUGCUGACGAGUGGCGGACGGGUGAGUAAUGUCUGGGAAACUGCCUGAUGUAGGGGGAUAACUACUGGAAACGGUAGCUAAUACCGCAUAACGUCGCAAGACCAAAGAGGGGGACCUUCGGGCCUCUUGCCAUCGGUUGUGCCCAGAUGGGAUUAGCUAGUAGGUGGGGUAACGGCUCACCUAGGCGACGAUCCCUAGCUGGUCUGAGAGGAUGACCAGCCACACUAGAACUGAGACACGGUCCAGACUCCUACGGGAGGCAGCAGUGGGGAAUAUUGCACAAGGGGCGCAAGCCUGAUGCAGCCAUGCCGCGUGUAUGAAGAAGGCCUUCGGGUUGGAAAGUACUUUCAGCGGGGAGGAAGGGAGUAAAGUUAAUACCUUUGCUCAUUGACGUUACCCGCAGAAGAAGCACCGGCUAACUCCGUG